UACGGAGGGAGCUAGCGUUGUUCGGAAUUACUGGGCGUAAAGAGCACGUAGGCGGCUAGAUGCGUCAGGGGUGAAAUCCCGAGGCUUAACCUCGGAACUGCCUUUGAUACGGUCUAGCUAGAAUAUCGUAGAGGUUAGUGGAAUUCCAAGUGUAGAGGUGAAAUUCGUAGAUAUUUGGAAGAACAUCAGUGGCGAAGGCGACUAACUGGGCGAUUAUUGACGCUGAGGUGCGAAAGCGUGGGGAGCGAACGGG
rnacentral:rRNA from 1 species